rnacentral:rRNA from 1 species
GCCUUACCACCCUGAAAGUGCCUGAUCUCAUCUGAUCUUGGAAGCUAAGCAGAGUUGAGCCUGGUUAGUACUUGGAUGGGAGACCUCCUGGGAAUAUCAGGUGC